ensembl:lncRNA
AGAGUGAGCUAGAGAGAGCGAGACAGAGAGAGAGAGAGAUGAAGGAGAGAGAGAGAGCAGAUCUCUCGAUGGCUGUAUGUCUAAAACCCACAGCAGACGUGUCCUUUCUCCAGCGCUCGUUGCUCUGUGUUUGUGAUUGUGUUUCUUCACUCUGUGUUUCUGGAAUUCAAAAGGACCAGUGAGCCGGAUCCAGAGACCUUGAUGAAUGCAUUCCAUAGGAUAAAGUGGAAAGGCGGUACCCGGGUUGAGUGCCUACGGACCUUAGUCACCCCUGCAGGCCCGGAGCUGCACCGCCCCACCCAGGGGAGCCGGGGGUAGAUUAAACACCACUGAUUGAGGUGUGGG